UUAAACCGAACUAAAUCAAAAAAUAUCCGCCCCAAAAAAACCGCCACAAUAAUGCUAGUAAACCAAAAACGCCUCUAAACACAAAGAACUUUUUUGUUUAAACGACUAAAACGGAAUCCUUCCGAAGUUGACGGUUACCAAGCCCCUCAGCCCGGAAGUUUUUCCGAGCCCGCUUACCUGUGGUAGGUCCAGCGCGAGGACCGCUGAGAAUGUCGGCCACUGGCCUGUAGCCCCACCCUCCGAGACACAUGUGGAUAUUCCAAUUGCGCACGAUGAACACGACGCCCGUGGGGGAUGGAGACUUCGGGUUUAACCCUUUCGGGGAGGCAAGGCUCCGUUUGGCGGGGUUGAGAGUACGCGUCAAAGAAGCGCCGGCUAUCUACGUGCCACCAGCCGCGGUAAUACGUAGGCGCGAGAGUUGUCCGGAAUAAUUGGGCGUAAAGGGCUCGUAGGCGGCUUGUCGCGUCUGCUGUGAAAACGCGGGGCUCAACUCCGCGCGUGCAGUGGGUACGGGCAGGCUGGAGUGCGGCAGGGGUGGCUGGAAUUCCUGGUGUAGCGGUGGAAUGCGCAGAUAUCAGGAAGAACACCGAUGGCGAAACAGGCCACUGGGCCGUCACUGACGCUGAGGAGCGAAAGCGUGGGGAGCGAACAGG
rnacentral:rRNA from 1 species